CCGCAGCAGAAUGAUGACGUAGGGCAGCGGCCAAAACGUAACGCACGCCUCCCGGACACGUCUCCGCAGACACCCAGCAGGAGAAGACAACAGAAGGAGUCCACACACCACGGGCUUAAGUAAUGUCCCCGCCUCUGGUGGUCCACACCCCUGUGUGCAGGUAAGAGGGAGGGGAGAAACCCUCAUCCGGUCACACAUGCGCCACCGUCGACCGCAACCGUGUUCCUUGGGCAUAGCAUUUAUUGAGGUAGCAGACAGUAGUAAACUGUUAUGCAGUCUGGUCGUGAGGGCCCGACUGCUUCUCAGCUGUCCUCACUAUCCUCUGCAGGGCUACGCGGUCUCAAACGGUGCCAAACCAGGCAGUGAUGCUGCUGCUCAGGAUGCUCUCAUUAGCCCCCCCGAUACAACGUAGUGAGUAUGGGGGGGGGGAGAUGUGCUUUCCUCCGCCUUCGAAGAAAGUAGAGACGCUGCUGGGCUUUCUGGUGUCGAGGGACCAGGUGAGGUGCUCUUGACGAUGUCCAAAGAGGAGCUGUCGAUGCUCAGCAGAAAGUGUUCACCCUGUGCCGUCCUAAAGUCAACAAGCAUCUCUUUUGUUUUGUCCACAUUCAAGGACAGGUUGUUGGCUCUACACCAGUCAGUUAGCCGCCGCACCUCCUCUCCGUAUGCUGACUCAUCGUUCUUGCUGAUGAGACCCACCGCGGUCGUUCCAGCUGUGCAUUGCUGCACAGUGGUGAGUCAGCAGAGUGAACAGUAGUGGACUGAGCACCAGUGGCGAAGGGAACCUUUCCGAGGAAGCCACGCAACCUCUAAACUGUGUAUUUUUUAUGGGGGUGGGGGCAGAAAAUCGCAUGUUGCUAUUUCAUGUAGUUGGGUGAAUUAUUACAGCGCCCAGCAUCAUUUUACCGGGACUCACACACGCUUGUUAUCUAACCGACAUUUCUCUCUCUCUCUCACUCACACUCAGUCAUCUUAAACAUGUCAUUCAUUUAUGCAACCACCCUCCCAAAAGCACAAGCAGCUACUUAAAGCACAGCACGCAUUAGAUAUUGGAAAGAUGUGAAUUCAUUUACACACCCAAUCAGAAGCCAUUAAGUUUACCUCCACGUCAAACACAACUCUUAUGCUCUGAGUGAGCCGCUCACUGCGGACGCAACGUUAAUUCUCUUCAUUGACAGUCAUAGAACUUUCCUUCCUCUCAGUACGGAGCGUUUUGGUGUUGGCCUGCCGUCUGAUUUAAUUCGGAGUUGGGCUGCAAAGGCAGUUUAGUGAAAAUAUUUUUUACUAAAUAAUACAUAUGUCCAGCAUCCAUCACUGCACUUAAUACUUUCACCAGCCUACCAACACAAAUCGUCCAUUAUUUCAUUCAAUGACGUUGAUGACGUGCUGUGAUUUGAUUGGUGUGAAGCCAACGGCUUCCCUUGACGCCGUCCUCAGCAAUCACAGGGGAGCAGCGUCGUCACAACAGCCUCACCUGAUUGAUUCAUCUUUUUUUCCCAUCAAAGAAGAAAAACUCAGCUUGGCUUCCUCACGGACACAAGUGCAACUUGUCUGAAACACAGAGGGCAGAAGCAUGUUUUCAACGCUCAUUCACCACGUAACAUGUAGAGGGCGCUGUUUCACACAUCAUAAAACGAAGAAUGAAGAGAGACGAGGAGGAGACGACAGGGAUUAUGUAAACUGUUAAAACGUUUUUUUAUUAAAUUGCUAAUC
ensembl:lncRNA